UUUCUAGGGCUGCUCCCGCGGCAUAUGGAAGUUCCUAGGCUUGGGGUCCAAUCGGAGCUGUAGCCACCAGCCUGCACCACAGCCAGAGCAAUGCGGGAUCCAAACCGCGUCUGCAACCUACACCACAGCUCACGGCAACGCCGGAUCGUCGACCCACUGAGCAAGGCCAGUGAUUGAACCCGCAACCUCAUGGGUCCUAGUCAGAUUCGUUAACCACUGAGCUACGACGGGAACGCCACAACCACCAUUAAUACUUUGGAAAUUUCCUCACGAUUUAAAAAAAUUUUCUAUGCAUAAUCUUAGGGAGGUUUUAAGAUAGCAGAAUUCAAACUGUAUGUGCUAUUUUGUAUUCUGCUCUUUUCACUUGAUAUUAUCGUAUAAUUCCCGUAUCAUCGCAAACGCUUCGUGAAGAGCCUGUUCAAAUGACUUCUUAACAUUCUACCGAAUGGAUAGUCUAUAAUUUACUAUUCCCCAAAUGGGCAAGAUGGGGCUAUGUCCAGGUUUGGUUUUGUUCGUUUGCUUGGGUUUUUUGGUCUUGUUUUGGCUAUUAUUUCCUUGAGUGACAAAAGACUGUUUGUACAGGACUCUAAAUGUAAAGGAAGGAGGCACCCGCCCUGGAAUGCCCAUCACGGAGUCAGACCGAGUGAGGAGGGCUGGGGCACCAUCCUGACCAGAGGAAGUGCCUGCCUCACCAUGGACGUCAAUAGAAGGUGAAGCCCCCUUUGCCUGUCUCAGGACUUCUUCCAUUGGGAUGGAGCUCCACCAGCAGCACUCCUGGCCUCCCUCCACUUCGAGGUGGAGUGUCCAUCCCAACUGACGGUCUAGGGAAGGAGUCCCUUCCACUGAGAGCCAGCACAGCCCUAUCCCUUCCUGCGGUGUUUUUUAGCAGAUCAGGCCCCAGUUUGGGCAGCUCUGCAGGAACCCAGCUUUGUCUGUUAACAGGGGAGAAGUCUCACUCCGGUGUUCAGCCAUAUCAAGUUCCUUUCAUCUCCAAAAUCUGUUUGAUUGGAAUAACCAUGAUAUUUUGGUCACCUGUCUCCUUCCAUUUUGUCUUAUUUUUCCACUGGCUCAGGAUUCAAGCCAGGAAGAAGGAUGCUAUUUAUCCAACCCCUUCAAAACCACAACUAAGACCAUAUCCUCCACUGUUGCUGAAUUUCUUCUCUUCUCAUCCCACAAGCAGGAUGUUGGGGUUUGGGAUUCUGCUUAGAGGACUUAGCUGAAGGCAAAAUUCAUUGCUACAUGUGGGUCUUGACAAUCAACACUAUGCUCACACAGAAACAACAGAUAAUAGAAUCAUUAUUAUUUAUAACAGUCACUGCUGUUUCUUGAGUAGUAAUCACGUACCAUGUGUUACUCAUUUUUUUUUUUUUUUGAUCUUUUCAGAGGCGCACCUGUGGCAUACGGAGGUUCCCAGGAUAGGGGCUGAAUCGGAGCUGUAGCUGCUGGCCUACAUCACAACCACAGCAAUACCAUAUCCAAGCCAAGUCUAUGACCUAGACCACAGCUCACAGCAACGAUGGAUCCUUAACCCACUGAGCCAGGCCAGGGAUCGAACCCAUGUCCUCACGGAUCCUAGUCAGGUUCGUUAACCCCUGAGCCACAGUGGGAACUCCCAUGCACCCUGCAUUGUAUCAAAUGCUUGGCACCCCUAGUUCCUGCUAACAAAAGCCCUCUCGGGUAGAUAUCAUCACCUCUGCUUUACAAGGGGGAAGCUGAGGUUAUACGAGAGGUCUUGUAACAUCCAGAUUACAGGCUUACACCGUUAACAGUGGCCAGGCCAGGAUUCACAAUUAGAUUAAGACCCCUGAAAGCCUGUGCUCUUAACCUCUUAGCAGCCACAUGGGUUCCUCUGAGGAGGGGGGCAGGUGAGGGAGUGAGGGCCCCCACAUCCUCUCAACAAACAGUUCAGGGAAUUCCAGGAUGCUCAGAGCCCCCCCAGAUCUUUAUCUUCCCAGAGACCAUUGUCACAGCAUCAUUGUCGUAUAAAGGGGGGGAGUGUUGAUUACUUUGGGCUUCUUUUUUUGUUGUUUUUUUUUUUAGGGCCGCACCAAGGGCAUGUGGAAGUUCCCAGGCUAGGAGUGUAAUUGGAGCUACCGCUGCCAGCCACAGCCAUAGCAAUACCAGAUCCAAGCCGCAUCUGUGACCUAGACCAAGGCUCACAGCAACACCAGAUCCCCACCCACGGAGUGGGGCCAGGGAUUGAACCCACAUUUUCAUGGAUACUAGUUGGGCUUGUUACCACUGAGCCUCAACCAGAACUCCAGGCUUCUGGUUUUUUUUAGGUCGGAGUCACAUAACCUAAAACUCAUCAUUUUAAGUUGUACGAUUUAGUGGCAUUUAGGCUGCAAGGCUCUACCAUCACCACCUCUACCCAGUUCCCGACAUUUUUAUCACCCCAGACAGAAACCUUCCUACAAAGUCACUCCUCAAUCCCCCCUCCCACUCUGGCAGUCACUCAUCUGCUUUCUGUCUCUAUGGGUUCUCCUAUUCUGAAUAUUCCAUCUGAAGGGAUUACCUGGAGGUUUCUCAUGGGUGAUUACAGCAUUCACCACUCACGUGUUGUGUGCAGAUAGGGACGCAGCUCUCCGACACAGGGUCAGAGAAUUCUCCUCUCGCUACCCACCUGGACGUCCCCCCUUGCCACUGUGCAGCCUCUUAGCGUUUCUCUCCUUGACGGGCCACACAUCCUGUCCCGCUUCCCCACUUCACAUUCACGCUAAAACAAAACAAACACACAAGGAAACAAAACCCUUCCCAACUCGUGAGCAGAUGAGCCAGGAAAUCCGAUGAUUCAACCCUUUUUUUCUUAGCUCAAGAAGGUCGAGCCCAACCCACUGCAGGGUACUGGCAACCCUAUCUGAUCUCUUGGGACAGUCCAUGAAGGAAGAUAAUAUAAGGAAUGGAAGGUAUAUGUAUGUAGGACUGGGUCACUUGGCUGUACAGCAGAAAUGGGCACAACAUUGUACAUCAACCAUACUUUUAAAAAAAAGUUUCAGGAGUUCCCACUGUGGCAUGAGCGGAAAUGAAUCCGAUUAGGAACCAUGAGGUUGCGGGUUCAAUCCCUGGCUUUGCUCAGUGGGUUAAGGAUCCGGUGUUGCCAUGAACUGUGGUGUAGGUUGCAGAUGGCUUGGAUCCUGCGUUGCUGUGGCUGUGACGCAGGUCAGCAGCUGUAGCUCCAAUUUGACCCCGAGCCUGGGAACUUCCAUAUGUCAUGGGUGCGGCUCUGAAAAACAAAUAAACAAAUAAAUAAAAAUGUUUAAAUGUUUCAUGUAUCUUUUUUUUAAAAAAAGUGUCUUCUGGGAGUGCAACUGCAAGACAGAAUGAGGCAAAAAGCUACAAAAGGAGAAGGUAAUAAUUGAAGGGAAUGGUCUCCUUACUGCCAAAAGGAACCCAAAGCAGAAUGUGAGCGUGCUAGCCAGCUCCCACAGCCCCCACCGCAUACAGGGCCAUUCAGACUGCUAAGCACGUAGUCCAGAAAGUCUACAAACACAGGGCCAGUUGAACCAGGAAGACACACCUGGAGAGGAUGGCUCUUGCCUGUAAACCGCCUCCCCCUGCCAUCUUGCCACUCAAAGUAUGGUCUGAGGACCAGCAGCAUCAACACACCCUUGUUACAAAUGCAGACUCUGCCAAGGACCUGUCUGCUCAGUCCUGAGCUAUUCCCAUUGCAGGGCUUGUCCCUAUACUUCUGUACGGAGGUAUAAUUAUACCACCCCUUAGGUUUUCUUAGCAUACUAUGCUCUGUUUCACGUUGCACCCUUAAAGCUCUGUCCAUAUGCCUUUAUUUCAGGAUUCUGAGCAUAAGGCAUGGCCAGCAUUAUGAGUGAAAUUUUUUAUUUUAUUUUUUGCCCUUUUUAGGGCCAUACCUGCAGCACAUGGAAGUUCUCAGACUAGGGGCUGAAUUGGAGCUGCAGCUGCCAGCCUACACCACAGGCACAGCAGUGCUAGAUCCGAGCCUCAUCUGCGACCUACACCACAGCUCAGGGCAAUGCUGGAUCCCCGACCCACUGAGAGGCCAGGGAUUGAAGCCGCAUCCUCAUGGAUACUAGUCGGAUUUGUUUCCACUGUGCCACAACAGGAACUUCUUGUUAGCGAAAUUUUCAGUUCAAAGAGUGCCUUAGCCUGGGCUCCUGUAAGUCCCCGGUCAUAUGUGCACCUCCACCUCCACCCACCCUACCCUCCACUCUCGGCACAGGAGCAGUGAUUAUGUACAUCUUUACGGUGUGUUACUUCUUCCUUCCAGAUGUGGUCUAGUCUUCCCUUAGAAUCAAUGGCCUGGAGCAGUGAGACUGGUUUAUUAUUCCCAUCUGUGAAUGCUCCUCCUUCUAGUUGGAGAAGGCAGGAAUUUCAGAGUUGCUCAAACUGAUCCCGCCAGAGUGCAGAGAAGGAAAAGACGGGUGGGGAGGGAGGACCAGUGAGGUUAAGAGGGGGUGGAGGGAUUGUGUACUGAAAAAGGACUUCCACAUCUUUCAGGACCACUGGGCAGAAACAUGAAUUGAGACAGAGACCACCUGGCUGUCUCUGGGAAAUUCCACAUA
rnacentral:lncRNA from 1 species